GUCGACGGGAUCCAGAUCAAAGCUUGCUUUGGUUUGGUGAGAGUGGCGCACGGGUGCGUAACGCGUGAGCAACCUACCCUUGUCAGGGGGAUAGCCCGGCGAAAGUCGGAUUAAUACCGCAUGACAUCAUUGAGAGGCAUCUUUCUAUGAUCAAAGAUUUAUCGGACAAGGAUGGGCUCGCGUGACAUUAGCUAGUUGGUAAGGUAACGGCUUACCAAGGCUACGAUGUCUAGGGGCUCUGAGAGGAGAAUCCCCCACACUGGUACUGAGACACGGACCAGACUCCUACGGGAGGCAGCAGUAAGGAAUAUUGGUCAAUGGACGGAAGUCUGAACCAGCCAUGCCGCGUGCAGGAAGACGGCCCUAUGGGUUGUAAACUGCUUUUAUACGGGAACAAACGUCGGUACGUGUACCGGUCUGAGUGUACCGUAAGAAUAAGGAUCGGCUAACUCCGUGCCAGCAGCCGCGGUAAUACGGAGGAUCCGAGCGUUAUCCGGAAUUAUUGGGUUUAAAGGGUGCGUAGGCGGCCAGAUAAGUCAGGGGUGAAAGUCGGCAGCUCAACUGUCGCAGUGCCUUUGAUACUGUUUGGCUUGAAUUCGGUUGAAGAUGGCGGAAUGAGACAAGUAGCGGUGAAAUGCAUAGAUAUGUCUCAGAACACCGAUUGCGAAGGCAGUUAUCUAAGCCGUUAUUGACGCUGAUGCACGAAAGCGUGGGGAGCAACAGGAUAGAUACCUGGUAGU
rnacentral:rRNA from 1 species